rnacentral:rRNA from 1 species
GACGAACGCUGGCGGCGUGGAUUAGGCAUGCAAGUCGAACGGUAGGAUACCUUCGGGUAUCUGAGAGUGGCGAACGGGUGAGUAACACGUAGGUGAUCUACCCUCAAGAUUGGGACAACCCAGGGAAACUUGGGCUAAUACCGGAUGAAAGCAGCAGUGAUGUUGUUUGAAAGGUGGCGUAAGCUGCCGUUUGGGGAUGAGCCUGCGCUCUAUUAGUUAGUUGGCGGGGUAAAGGCCCACCAAGGCGAUGAUAGAUAGGCGGCCUUAACGGGUGGUCGCCCACACUGGGAUUGAGAUACGGCCCAGACUCCUACGGGAGGCAGCAGUCGAGAAUAGUCUACAAUGGCCGAAAGGCUGAUAGUGCGACGCCGCGUGAACGAAGAAGCCUCGGGUGUAAGUUCUUUAUAUGUGAGCAGUGCUUUCUAUGUGAACAGCAUGGGGAGAGAGAUAUUAGCAUAUGAAUAAGCAACGGCUAACUCCGUGCCAGCAGCCG